rnacentral:miRNA from 1 species
UAAUAGUGAUCCAACCUCGCAAGCCAGGCUCUCUAUUUCCGCUUCCCUCCCUAACACGCUGGAACGUGUUUACGCUGGAGCGUGUUUGGGAGGGAACCGGAAGUACAGAGCCUGGCUUGCGAGGUUGAAUAGUGAU